rnacentral:rRNA from 1 species
CAUAUGCUUGUCUUAAAGAUUAAGCCAUGCAUGUCUAAGUAUAAGCUUUUAUACGGCGAAACUGCGAAUGGCUCAUUAAAACAGUUAUAGUUUAUUUGAUGGUCUUUACUACAUGGAUAACCGUGGUAAUUCUAUGGCUAAUACAUGCGCACAUACCUCUUCCCUCGUGGAAGGGUAGUGUUUAUUAGAUACAGAACCAACCCACCUUCGGGUGGUCCUCAGGUGAUUCAUAGUAACCGAACGGAUCGCAUUAUGGCCUUUUGGUCGGCGAUGGAUCAUUCAAGUUUCUGACCUAUCAGCUUUCGACGGUACUGUAUUGGACUACCGUGGCAGUGACGGGUAACGGGGAAUUAGGGUUCGAUUCCGGAGAGGGAGCCUGAGAAACGGCUACCACAUCUAAGGAAGGCAGCAGGCGCGCAAAUUACCCAAUCCUGACUCAGGGAGGUAGUGACAAGAAAUAACAACACUGGAAAUUAUAUUUCUAGUGAUUGGAAUGAUGGGAAUCCAAACCCCUUUCAGAGUAACAAUUG